rnacentral:lncRNA from 1 species
UAGGUCUUGUCCUCGUGGCCCUGUGUCCUCCCGGUCCUUUGGGUGCCACCUCCACAGGUCCCCCUGGGUGCUGGGUCCUCUGAGUCCUCCAGGUCCUCUGGGUUCCACCCCCCCUGGGUCCUCUGGGUCCUCCAGGUCCCCUGGGUGCCAUGUUCUCAGGUCCUCUGGGUUCCACCUCCCCUGGGUCCUCCAGGUGCCAUGUUCUCUGGUGCCAUGGAGGUCUUGUUCUCCUGGCACUGUGUCCUCCAGGUCCCUUGGGUGCCACCUGCAUGGGUCUCUUAGGUGCCACCUCCACGGGUCCCCCUGGGUGCUGGGUCCUCUGGGUCCUCCAGGUCCUCUGGGUUCCACCUCCCCUGGGUCCUCUGGGUCCUCCAGGUCCCAUGUUCUCUGGUGCCAUGGAGGUCUUGUUCUCCUGGCACUGUGUCCUCCAGGUCCCUUGGGUGCCACCUCCAUGGGUCUCUUAGGUGCCACCUCCACGGGUCCCCCUGGGUGCUGGGUCCUCUGGGUCCUCCAGGUCCUCUGGGUUCCACCUCCCCUGGGUCCUCUGGGUCCUCCAGGUCCCAUGUUCUCUGGUGCCAUGGAGGUCUUGUUCUCCUGGCACUGUGUCCUCCAGGUCCCUUGGGUUCCACCUCCCCUUGGUCUUCCAGUGCCACCUCCCUUGAACCAUGGGUGCCAUGUCCUCAGGUCCUCUGGUGCCACCUCCUCUGGGUGCUGGGUCCUCUGGGUCCUCCAGGUCCUCUGGGUUCCACCUCCCCUGGGUCCUCUGGGUCCUCCAGGUCCCUUGUUCUCUGGUCCCAUGGAGGUCUUGUUCUCCUGGCACUGUGUCCUCCGGGUCCCUUGGGUGCCACCUCCACGGGUCCCCCUGGGUGCUGGGUCCUCUGGGUUCCACCCCCCCUGGGUCCUCUGGGUCCUCCAGGUCCCAUGUUCUCUGGUGCCAUGGAGGUCUUGUUCUCCAGGUCCUUUGGGUGCCACCUCCAUGGGUCCCCCUGGGUGCUGGGUCCUCUGGGUUCCACCCCCCCUGGGUCCUCUGGGUCCUCCAGGUCCCUUGGGUGCCACCUCCCCUUGGUCCUCUGGUUCCCCUUGGGUUCCACGUCCCUUGGGUGCAGCAGAAGACCCUCUGGGGGUCAAGUCCUCUCUGUCCCCUGGCUGCUGGCUCCUCUCUGUCCCCUGGGUGCCAGGUUCUCCAGGUCCUCUGGUGCCACCUCCCCUGGGUGCCAAGUCCCUUGGGUCCUCUGGGUCCUCCAGGUCCCCCGGGUGCCACGUUCUCUGGUCCCAUGGAGGUCUUGUUCUCCUGGCACUGGUUCCUCUGUGUCCCCUGGGUGCCAGGUUCUCCAGGUCCUCUGGUGCCACCUCCCCUGGAUGCCAAGUCCCUUGGGUCCUCUGGGUCCUCCAGGUCCCCGGUGUGCCAUGUCCCUUGGGUGUUGGGUCCCCUGGGUCCUCCAGGUCCCUUGGGUGCCACCUCCCCUUGGUCCUCUGGUUCCCCUUGGGUUACAAGUCCUUUGGGUGCAGCAGAAGACCCUCUGGGGCUCAGAAGACCCUCUGGGUGUCAACUCCUCUCUGUCCUUUGGUUGCCACAUCCCUUGGGUCCUCCACGUCCCCGUGGUUCCCCCAUGGGACCACCAGCCGUGGUCGGGUGGUUGCCCCACUUGGGUCCUCUCACUUGCCCAGGGCUACUACCGGCGCACGCCGGCCUACCUGCCCCUUGGGUCCUCCACGUCCUCGUGGUCCAUGUGGGGAUCCCCCAGGUGCCAUGUUCUCCACAUCCCCGUGGUUCCCCCAUGCGACCACCAGCCGUGGUCGGGUGGUUGCCCCACUUGGGUCCUCUCGCUUGCCCAGGGCUACUACCGGCGCACGCCGGCCUACCUGCCCCUGCGGAAGCGGGAGCGCCGGGGCUGCUUCCCGGUGCCCAUGGUGCACUCCACGCUGCUGCUGGACCUGCGCAAGGAGGCCUCGCGGGCGCUGGCCUUCUACCCCCCUCACCCCGACUACACCUGGGCCUUCGACGACAUCAUCGUCUUCGCCUUCUCCUGCCGGCAGGCCGGUGAGCCGCGGGGGGCUCCUGGAGCUCGGGGUUGGGCUCCUGGAACGGUGGGAUGGGCUCGUGGGUCUUUGGGGUUGGGCUCAAUUGAGUUUGGGCUCAUUUAACUCAGGUUGGGCUCACUCGAGUUUGGGCUCAUUUAACUUGGGUUGGGCUCACUCAACUCAGGUUGGGGUCGUUUGAGUUUGGGGUUGUUUAACUCAGGUUGGGCUCGUGGAGCUCGGGGUUGGGCUCCCAGAUCGGCAGGUUGGGCUCACAGGUCUUUGGGGUUGGGCUUGAUUGAGUUUGGGGUCGUUUAACAUGGUUUGGGGUCGUUUAACAUGGUUUGGGGUCGUUUGAGUUUGGGCUCAUUUGACUCAGGUUGGGCUCGUUUGAGUUUGGGCUCGUUUAACUCAGGUUGGGCUUGUGGAGCUCGGGGUUGGGCUCCCAGAACGGCAGGAUGGGCUCGUGGGUCUUUGGGGUUGGGCUCGUUUGAGUUUGGGCUCGCUUAGCUCUGGGUUGGGCUCACUCAGCUCAGGUGGGCUCAUUUAACUCAGAUUAGGCUCGUUUGAGGUUGGGCUCGUGGAGCUCGG